UACGUAGGGGGCAAGCGUUGUCCGGAAUCAUUGGGCGUAAAGCGCGUGUAGGCGGCUCGGUAAGUCUGCUGUGAAAGUCCAGGGCUCAACCCUGGGAUGCCGGUGGAUACUGUCGAGCUCGAGUCCGGAAGAGGCGAGUGGAAUUCCUGGUGUAGCGGUGAGAUGCGCAGAUAUCAGGAGGAACACCAAUGGCGAAGGCAGCUCGCUGGGACGUGACUGACGCUGAGACGCGAAAGCGUGGGGAGCAAACAGG
rnacentral:rRNA from 1 species